rnacentral:rRNA from 1 species
CAGCAGCCGCGGGAAUACGUAGGGUCCGAGCGUUGUCCGGAAUUACUGGGCGUAAAGAGCUCGUAGGUGGUUUGUCGCGUUGUUCGUGAAAACUCACAGCUCAACUGUGGGCGUGCGGGCGGUACGGGCAGACUAGAGUACUGCAGGGGAGACUGGAAUUCCUGGUGUAGCGGUGGAAUGCGCAGAUAUCAGGAGGAACACCGGUGGCGAAGGCGGGUCUCUGGGCAGUAACUGACGCUGAGGAGCGAAAGCGUGGGGAGCGAACAGGAUUAGAUACCCCCGUAGUCCCUGUCUCUUAUAC